UGUGUGUGUGUGAGAGAGAGAGAGAGAGAGAGAGAGAGAGAGAGAGAGAGAGAGAGAGAGAGAGAGAGAGAGCGCUAGCCUGAAGGGAGCCACAAAGGAGCCUGGCAGCCCUGGCCAGCUGCCAUGGAGACAGCUUCUAUAGAGAGGCAUUUGAGAAGAAGCAGCUAGGGCCUGGGGGAGAUGCUGGGGGACAAAGUAAAAUCUUUAUUGACCUGUGGCUUCUCACAACAAACCUGAAUGUGCCCAUGUGUCUUUCUAAACCUUCAAUCUAAUUUUUAAUAGUUCACAAUAAAAAAAUCAAAUAUCUAGGGCAUAGUAUGUAAUCACUUUAAUUAAUAAAUAAUUCCUCAUGUAUAUGAGCAAUUGUAGUGAAAAUUCAUCUGCUCUUCCACUUGUCGCUCUUAGUGUCUCUAGAUCUUUUUUUUUCUGAGAUGACCUUUCCUGCCCUAUCCCACGGAAAUGCCAAGAUGGUCCAUAUACUGGCUAGUGUACAGCUUAGAGCACACCAAUGGAAGACAUCCCCAAGUUCACGUGUUCACACCCAAAAGCCGCAUAGUGUACCUGGAGAUGCCAUCCACUUUAUACGAACAGACUGUGUUUAGUUUGCUUCUGCUUGGUUUGCCAAGAAUUUAUGUUCAUCUGAGAGUUGGUCUCAUGAAGACGUCUGUUGGUACUGGUUAUCAUGGGAAGAGACAAAAGUUGUCUUCUGUCUUGCUCCGCCCCAACCCGCCCACCGUGAGGGUGGCAGGUCAGAGCACAGAUUGAAGGGCACUUGAACCUUGACCAUCAACUGGCUUGAUGCCGUGCUGAGUUCUUCUCAGCCUCCUGACUUCAUUGUAUGGUGAUUAAAAAAAAAUAAAGUCCAUACAUGACACUGUCA